rnacentral:misc_RNA from 1 species
AUUCAUUUUGUUUUGGAGCACUAAACCCAGGUGGCGGUCUUGCCUUAGCUCGCAAAUGAGGCAUCACAUCACCAAGUAAUGAAAAUGACGAGUCCUUUGAUGCACUUGCAAGCUGAACUUGCAAAUCUAUCCCAAAAUAUCCAGCCUCAAACCAUCCAAUAAUAUCACUACCAGAAAAAGGACCUUGAAUUUCACCCUGAGGAUCUUUAUAGUAAAGAACUAGAUUCUCCGGUGAGGGCUGAGAAAGCUUCUUGGCUUCUUGUUCCCUAUCCAGAAGCACAGAUGGCUGCCUCCUAAUAACGGGAUCUUCACCGGCUUGCCAUUUUGCUUCAUCUUUGAGACACGGAGAGUUAACCAAAUUACUGUCCCACCGAUUAUCUAGAUCUUUCUGAGGUUGAUUCCAGCCCAUCUCAGAGGUCCUUGACCUGCCAUCACUUGGAAUCUCUCUCCAGUCAUUC